rnacentral:tRNA from 1 species
GCGGGCCGAAGAGGAAAGGUUACCGCUGUAAACGGGGAGGUCGCGGGUUCGAAUCCCGCCGGGCCGCA